AGUGAACGCUGGCGGUAGGCCUAACACAUGCAAGUCGAACGGCAGCACAGUAAGAGCUUGCUCUUACGGGUGGCGAGUGGCGGACGGGUGAGGAAUACAUCGGAAUCUACUUUUUCGUGGGGGAUAACGUAGGGAAACUUACGCUAAUACCGCAUACGACCUACGGGUGAAAGCAGGGGAUCUUCGGACCUUGCGCGAUUGAAUGAGCCGAUGUCGGAUUAGCUAGUUGGCGGGGUAAAGGCCCACCAAGGCGACGAUCCGUAACUGGUCUGAGAGGAUGAUCAGCCACACUGGAACUGAGACACGGUCCAGGCUCCUACGGGAGGCAGCAGUGGGGAAUAUUGGACAAUGGGCGCAAGCCUGAUCCAGCCAUACCGCGUGGGUGAAGAAGGCCUUCGGGUUGUAAAGCCCUUUUGUUGGGAAAGAAAAGCAGCAGGUUAAUACCCCGCUGUUCUGACGGUACCCAAAGAAUAAGCACCGGCUAACUUCGUG
rnacentral:rRNA from 1 species